CCUACGGGAGGCAGCAGUAAGGAAUAUUGGUCAAUGGACGCAAGUCUGAACCAGCCAUGCCGCGUGAAGGAUUAAGGUCCUCUGGAUUGUAAACUUCUUUUAUCUGGGACGAAAAAAGGCGAUUCUUCGUCACUUGACGGUACCAGAUGAAUAAGCACCGGCUAACUCCGUGCCAGCAGCCGCGGUAAUACGGAGGGUGCAAGCGUUAUCCGGAUUCACUGGGUUUAAAGGGUGCGUAGGCGGGCAGGUAAGUCAGUGGUGAAAUCCUAGAGCUUAACUCUAGAACUGCCAUUGAUACUAUCUGUCUUGAAUAUUGUGGAGGUAAGCGGAAUAUGUCAUGUAGCGGUGAAAUGCUUAGAUAUGACAUAGAACACCUAUUGCGAAGGCAGCUUACUACGCAUAUAUUGACGCUGAGGCACGAAAGCUGGGGAUCAAACAGGAUUAGAUACCCUGGUAGUCCACGACCUAACGAUNAUACUCGACAUUGUAGUAUACACUAUAGUAGU
rnacentral:rRNA from 1 species